CCCAGAGGUAUUGAUGGGUGAACAUCAAUAGAUUUUCUUGAUUACACCAACCUGCGCAGAUGCGCAGGUUUUUUUU
rfam:Pantoea vagans C9-1, complete genome.